rnacentral:rRNA from 1 species
GUCUACAGCCAAACCACCCUGAAUGCACCUGAUCUCUUCUGAUAUCAGAAGCUAAGCAGGGUUGCACCUGGUUAGUACUUGGAUGGGAGAAUUUAGUUCAACAAUAUAUG